AGCAUGGCAUUUUCUCUUUCGGACCAGAGGAUGUGGGUGGGACUUCCGGCGCCGCUGUUGUGGCAGUCACUAUGGCUGCUCCAGUGUCCAGCUGCGAUACGAGUCAUUUAGGAGAGCGGAGUCAGGAUCGGGGUGACCAGAGCGAGGAGGCUUUAGAGGAGAGGUGGUCCCCACUGCACAGCGGCAGUGUCUUUAGGGCCGCGGCGGUAGAUGACGAUUGUAUACGACGAUUGUAUACGAGUUCCGUCUCUGUCACCCACCACCUAAGACCCCGCUCCUCCCAGACUCCGAUGGCGGCGGCCGCGCCGAGGGACCCGCCUCAGACUCCCAUGACUACAGAAGUGCUUAUGGACUGUACAAAGGACUUGUGCACAGACCUGGCCGGCUCCAGUGCCAACCUCAUUCCAAGGGUGACUGCCAUCCGGACCAGCCCAGACCUGCAGUGGCUGGUACGGCCCACUGAGGUGUUCUUGGCGGCCCCAUCACACAAGAUUCCCCCACCCAUAGGAGUUCUUCUGGCCUGAAUGGGGGUUAUCCCGUGAAGACCAUGGCAGGAGGCAGAGCUCUGGGCGUUGGCAGGAAGGGCAAGGUGGAACAGAUGAGGAGUCGGCGGGCACCUUCUCUCUGUAGGGAGGGCUGGGGUGGCAGCAUUGGAGGAGAUGGGGAGCACGUGGAUAGAAUGACGCCACUGAUGGAAUUCACUACACAUCCUGAACUGGCAACCCUGGCUCAAAGCCCUUUCCAUCCCAAGUCAGACUCUGAUAGUUCCACCCCAAGAAAUAGCCUAAUAGUUUAUUCUUUAGUAGGUUCCUAUCUCAUGCUUGUAGACUGGGUUCUCCUUUCACUUGCUGAGGAUCUUGUAAAAAAGAAAAAGUUUCGUAUCUAUUUUAAUACUUUGGUAUGUGUAUUUUCUUAAACAAUGUCUUUUUAUGGUCAUAUAGUUGAUUUACAAUGUUGUGUUAGUUUCUGGUGUACUGAAUCACUUUGCAGUACAUCUAUCAAAAUAUGAAAAAGUAUGUAAAAUAUAUACAUACAUUUUACAAAAUUAUAUAUGUAAAACAUAUAUUCUCUUUCAGAUUCUUUUCCAUUGCGAGUUAUUACAGGAUACUGAAUAUGGUUCCCUAUGCUAUACAGUAAAUCCUAUUGUUUAUCUAUUUAUAUAUAGUGGUGUGUAUCUGUUAAUCCCAUACUCCUAACAUAUACAUCUUUAUCCAUCCAUCUGUAGAUGGACACUGGGUUGGUUCCAUGCCCUGGUGAUUGUAUAUAGUGCUGCUAUGAACAUAGCGGUGCACUAUCUUUUCCAAUUAGAGUUUUCUCCAGAUGUAUGCCCAGGAGUGGGAUUGCUGGAUCAUAUGGCAACUCUAUUUUUAGUUUUUUAAGGAACCUCAAUACUGUUCUCCACAGUGGCUGCACCAAUUUAAUUCCCACCAUCAGUGUAGGAGGGUUCCCUUUUCUCCACACCCUCUCCAGCAUGUAUUAUUUGUAGACUUCUUGAUGAUGGCCGUUCUGACCAGUGUGACGUGGUACCUCAUUGUAGUUUUCAUUUGCAUUUCUCUAAUAACUAGUGAUGUU
ensembl:lncRNA